GUUCACAGCCUUUUGCUCUGGUUGUGCAUGCGGGAGGGAUACAGAAGAGGGAGGAAGACAGGUCGAGAGAGAGAAAGAGGGCAAAAACGGAUACAUGUCUGUGGCCAUUUCUCUUCGAUAUAAGAGAAUUCAAACAAACUCAGUGAUAAAUGGACUACAUAUGGCAGCCAUCAAUCCUGUCGCUGACUACAACUCCCAGAGAGCAACGCAUCACUGGUGCGAAGCAGGAGAUUACAUGCUCUGUAGAUCCAGGCACUUAAUUACAGUAUUGCACUGCAGCUGACAGACAGGCUUGGACACAAUGGGAUAAUACCUACAAGAGCCUGCUAAUAAUUUACCUACCAAAUUGACUACAGUUACCUGUUGGGUUCUUUCCCACAAGCUGUAACUCUGUGCACACCUCGUAUUAAUUCCUACCAUCAAGAGCUCCACUGUGACUUCCUGAAAACAAAUUAAGACUCAGAGCAUAUUCAGAAUGGCAUGCCAGUUACUAUUAUUGACAGAAAGUAGUACGCACUGCAGAAUGUAUGCUGUGCACAGUAUAUGCAAAUGUUCUAUGCACAGAAUACCAAAUACAUUUUACAUUUACCAAAAUGCACAUAUCCAAAGCACAGCGCUGAAUGAUGUAUAGUAAAUUGCAGUAGUUUCAGCUUUGUAUUUCCAGUGCGAUUAAUAAACAGGAAAUAACCGUAUUUAUUAUUUUUUAACUGAAAGGCACUCACUGAAUUAAACAUGAAAUGUGGUGAAAUUGUGUGAUAAUUUUUUAGGUUUUUGUUAUACAUUGUCAUUUG